GACGAACGCUGGCGGCGUGCCUAAUACAUGCAAGUAGAACGCACAGUUUAUACCGUAGCUUGCUACACCAUAGACUGUGAGUUGCGAACGGGUGAGUAACGCGUAGGUAACCUGCCUGGUAGCGGGGGAUAACUAUUGGAAACGAUAGCUAAUACCGCAUAAUAUUAAUUAUUGCAUGAUAAUUAAUUGAAAGGUGCAAUUGCACCACUACCAGAUGGACCUGCGUUGUAUUAGCUAGUAGGUGAGGUAACGGCUCACCUAGGCGACGAUACAUAGCCGACCUGAGAGGGGGAUCGGCCACACUGGGACUGAGACACGGCCCAGACUCCUACGGGAGGCAGCAGUAGGGAAUCUUCGGCAAUGGACGAAAGUCUGAACGAGCAACGCCGAGGGAGGGAAGAAGGGUUUCGGAUCGUAAAGCUCUGUUGUAAGAGAAGAACGGGUGUGAGAGUGGAAAGUUCACACUGUGACGGUAUCUUACCAGAAAGGGACGGCUAACUACGUG
rnacentral:rRNA from 1 species